AUGGUUUGAUGAUUCACAUAGAGGUGUAGAUCACAAUUUCAGGGGCGGGAGAUUUGCCGGAAGACGGUUCCAGCCAGGACAGAGGUUUGACUCAGAGCGUUCAUCUCGGAGAUUGAAUCAAGAUGGUUACUCUGAACCCGUGAUGCGUCCUGCAAGAUACUCUGAGUUGCCCAGUGGUGGAAGGGAGUGUAGAUACGAAGGUAGUGAUGAUGAUAGAAGGAAACCUGAUGGAAGAUAUGAGAUUGUUCAUCGCGUGAGGCGUUUUGAUUCAGAUGGUGGUGUGCGUCAGUACCGUUAUGAUGAAGAUCGUUUUGCAUCUCACAACACGCAGAACUACGAUGAAUCUGAC
rnacentral:lncRNA from 1 species